AAAGUCCCGCAAGGGAUGAGUAGAGUGGCAAACGGGUGAGUAACACGUGGGUGACCUGCCUUCGAGCGGGGGAUAACGUCCCGAAAGGGACGCUAAUACCGCAUAACAUCCUGCCUUUGAAGAGGCGGUGAUCAAAGCUGGGGAUCGCAAGACCUAGCACUCGAAGAGGGGCCCGCGUCCGAUUAGCUAGUUGGUGAGGUAAUGGCUCACCGAGGCAACGAUCGGUAGCCGGCCUGAGAGGGCGGACGGCCACACUGGGACUGAGACACGGCCCAGACUCCUACGGGAGGCAGCAGUGGGGAAUUGUUCGCAAUGGGCGCAAGCCUGACGACGCAACGCCGCGUGGAGGAUGAAGAUCUUCGGGUCGUAAACUCCUUUCGAUCGAGACGAAUUCCUUCGGGGUGAACAAUCCCGGAGGUUGACGGUACCGAGAGAAGAAGCCCCGGCUAACUCCGUGCCAGCAGCCGCGGUAAUACGGGGGGGGCAAGCGUUGUUCGGAAUUACUGGGCGUAAAGGGCUCGUAGGUGGCCAACUAAGUCAGACGUGAAAUCCCUCGGCUUAACCGGGGAACUGCGUCUGAUACUGGUUGGCUUGAGUUUGGGAGAGGGAUGCGGAAUUCCAGGUGUAGCGGUGAAAUGCGUAGAUAUCUGGAGGAACACCGGUGGCGAAGGCGGCAUCCUGGACCAACACUGACGCUGAGGAGCGAAAGCCAGGGGAGCAAACGGGAUUAGAUACCCCGGUAGUCCUGGCCCUAAACGAUGAAUGCUUGGUGUGGCGGGUAUCGAUCCCUG
rnacentral:rRNA from 1 species